ACCACCAGCAGUUUUCCCGUGUGUUUCUAACAUUCACUCUGGCGUUUCAGUUAGGAAUCCCUCCCUCCUCUGCAGAGACGAUAACAUUCUAAAAGCCUUUUCCAGCAUUAUGACAGAACCAGGAAGGCACUGUCCGUGAUCUGAGGUCUGUUAGGAUGGGUAGUUACUUACCAAGCCUGGUUGGCCAGGAGGGAAUCUGUGUUCCUUUUGCUUGUCACAUGCCACAGAACCAUUCCUGCAAAGCCAUGCUUACUGUAAGGCUCCUUUGUUGUUAAAGGCCCAUCCUGUGCAUUCCUGCUACAGCUGUGAACCAAGGGUGCACUACAGCUUCUGGAUUCUAGAGAGCAGGAAAUAGUUGCACACUGAAGACUGCGUAAAUAUGAAAGUUUCUGCUACAGAAAAAGAGAACACUGAAAAGUUUCUAAGUGAAACAGAAAACCAAAGUGGAGAACCCAGAAGUGUGAGGAAGCAAAGGAAAGGUUCCAGCUGGGUUCUGUCAGAGGGUGGCUUGACCACAGUACAAAUGAAGGCACCAACAGCCGGCGCCACCCUGGGGGCAGCUUAAGGUGACUUCACUUGACUGAGACCUCACAACGGAGAGUUGCUCGUAGGAGACCGACACUUCGCAGACAGCACACACAUUCAGACAGGUUGCAGCUGCCCCUGGCCAAACAAGGACUGAGAAUAUCAAAAGGAAAGCAAGAGAAAUAAACCCGUCUUCAAUCCUGCCGUUCUGAGUAGCGAGCGUGAUGAAGUCUCAUGCCGUGCAACCUUACC
ensembl:lncRNA